GGGCCUGUGGCCAAAUUGGAUAAGGCGUCUGACUACGGAUCAGAAGACUGCAGGUUCGAGUCCUGCCAGGCUCG